rnacentral:tRNA from 5 species
UCCCAUAUUGUCUAGUGGUUAGGAUACCCGGCUCUCACCCGGGAGGCCCGGGUUCGAUUCCCGGUAUGGGAA